UACGUAGGGGGCUAGCGUUAUCCGGAAUUACUGGGCGUAAAGGGUGCGUAGGUGGUUUCUUAAGUCAGAGGUGAAAGGCUACGGCUCAACCGUAGUAAGCCUUUGAAACUGGGAAACUUGAGUGCAGGAGAGGAGAGUGGAAUUCCUAGUGUAGCGGUGAAAUGCGUAGAUAUCACGCAGAACUCCGAUUGCGAAGGCAGCGUACCGGCAUCCAACUGACGCUGAGGCACGAAAGCGUGGGGAGCAAAUAGG
rnacentral:rRNA from 1 species